UUAUGUCGGUAGGUAAGGCUACCACAGGGAUACGGGUUACUGCCGCAAAGUAGUGGAGACACUAUUCGUAGGCCAACAGAUUACAUCGUACUAAGGUGUAAUUUAGUGUAAUUUCAUUGCCCUGUGAUGCUAAAGCUUGAACGAUA
rnacentral:sRNA from 1 species